AAUAAAGUACCUAAAAUAAAGGAUUAUUUUGAUAAAAAUAAAAAUACAUUAAAAUGUCUUUAUUA
rnacentral:tRNA from 1 species